rnacentral:lncRNA from 1 species
AUCAUUGUUAUUUUGUUUUCGGUUCUUACACCAUUGUCAUUUUAUCUCCAGUUCCUACAUCGGUGUUAUUCCUUUUGGACCUUAUACCACUGUCAUUACUUUCCGUUCUUACACCUCAAUCAUUUAGCAUCCACUCUCUUGGCGUUGAUGAUUUAUUUAGCACCGGUUCUUACACCGAUGAAGAUUGAUUUUUUUUGUAUCCCC